ACGCUCGACACCUACGGAGGCAGCAGUGGGGAAUAUUGCACAACGGGGGAAACCCUGAUGCAGCGACGCCGCGUGAGUGAAGAAGUAUUUCGGUAUGUAAAGCUCUAUCAGCAGGGAAGAAGAUGACGGUACCUGAGUAAGAAGCCCCGGCUAACUACGUGCCAGCAGCCGCGGUAAUCUGAGCGGGCUGGCAAGGC
rnacentral:rRNA from 1 species